ensembl:lncRNA
CUUCCUUUUUUUUUUUUUUUUUUUAACCUUCAGGGAAACUUUGUUUAGUCUUCUUUUUAAAGCUAUCUAGUCUAAAAAGGAGUUGAGGUGAAGACUGAAGAAAGAACAUGAGACCUUCUAACAGAGUCAAACCGACUCAGACAGACAGAAGCGGGGGAAGGAUCUGCAGCGUUUAUUUUGUGGCACCAACCCCAGGACUCCAGCCCCUUGGCGCCAGGCAGGCCUCCUGAGAAAGGUGCAUCAGCUUUGGGCGUGGCGGGUUGCAGGGGCGGAGGCGCCAUCUUUGACGCUGCCUUUCCGGAGCCUGUCGAACUGCAAGUAUAAAGACUCUCUUCUUAAGGCCUACUUCUUGACCAAGGGAGUUGCAAACUGCUCCAGGGAGUCCACCUCGGAUGGAGCCGAGGACCUCAGCUGGGUCUUGGGGGUGCUCCCCACUCUCUCCCGCCAGCUCCCGCCCCGCGAAGGGGGUGGCUCGGACUCACAGACGGGACCUUGGUUGGGAACCGCCGACGCCCCCGGAGAAGUCGCGUUCUCUGCUUGCUCCCCCGCCGCCGCAGUCGCAAACAUGUUCGCACCAUCCGCGUGACGUCCCCCGACGUUGAAAGCACCCGCUGCCUCACAGGGGAUGAAACACCAGAGUGCCAUGCAACUAAUACCAGAGGUGAGUGUCUUUCUUCUUUCCCUGAUGGGCAAGAAGAAACUAAAGUUCUGUUAAUGCAACAAAUAAUUAAGCAGACUCUGAGUUUUAGAUAAGAUCUAUCCCUAACAGGAAAGGUUUUUAGCCAGAAAUUUUAAGAGCAAAUUGAUAACUGUGAGGAUAAAACAAGUGGCACACUCACAGGUGUGACAAGCAUGAUAAAUACAUAUUUUUGGAAACUUGACCCCAAAAUUAAUAGGUCUGGGGAUGGCUCUUGCCUGCCUCUGACGGGAAGGGCUUUUCCCUUAUACUUAUAAAUGGCUAACUUCAGCUAGCGGUGGUUACAUUUGGUGAUGUUUCUGCAAUCACCGACCCAGUGUACCCUCCAUGUCCUCAACGACAUCAGGUCAGUAGUGUACAGGAUAAUCACUGGAAUUCAAAGCUGGCGUCAGAGCUAAGUGAUCUCCUUUGGCCUCCUCUUACCCUUGCCAAAGCAAUCACAUUAGUUCUGUUAACAGCCUGCCAAAUCAGCUAGCCUAGUAAACUCUCUCUCUUAGAAAGGAAAUCUAGAAAUUCAUAUUGGUUCAUAUUGUUUUUUUCCCCUCAGUGUGCUCUUGGGAAACUUGCCAGGGGGUCUGAUGGCUGUCGUCUGAUGAUGCCAUUUGAAGUCUUUAAUAAUCUGACAUUUCCUGUUGAUGAUCUGCCAUGUCUGAAGGCCAAACCAAACAGUGUUUAGGCUCUUUGAAUACCAGACUGUUUUUGUCUCUUUCUCUUCCUUCUCCUGACCCAGUUGUCAGCUUUGCCCACUCUUUGUUUCUCCAUUUCACCUGUGAAGUGCAAAGAUCAGAUAGCAAGCACUGCCUUCCAGCAAGACUGAACCUAUUGAAAAACCCUUGAGAUCAGAGCAGCCUAGGAUAUGUUGCUAGCUUUGUUAUGAGACAAGAUGGGGAGUGGGGAUAGUGGUGUGCAGGGGGAGUAUUGGCUGGGAGUGUUCUGUGAGAGGGAGAGGUUGUUUUCCAAGAUGGCAAAUGGAAGCUUGUAAGUCGGGUAAAAGGAGGAGGCAGAAGGUUUUUCUCUUUUAGAGUUCUUGUAACUUAAUUGAAAUGUAAGGAAUAAAAAUGUGGAAGUUAAGGAAGUAAAAGUUGGGAGUAGGAAUAUAUUGAAAGGUAUGAGUUAAUUGAAACAUGAGUAAAGGAUAAAAAUGCUGAAGUAAAUAAUUUUUUUUUUUGCCAGCCCAACUGGCCUGAAUUCUCGUUUGCAGUGUCUUUUACUACAUUAUAAUGAAUUGUAGAUUAUAUCCUUAGACCUAAAAUAAGAACCCUGUAGAAGAAUUUGAGUUUGAUUUUGUUUCUUAUGAGUGUGGGUUAGAGUGAAUAAGCACAGGGAACUAUAUCUAGUCACUUGUGGUGGAACAUGAUGGAGAAUAAUAUGAGAAAAAGAAUGUGUAUAUGACUGGAUCACUUUGCUAUACAGAAGAAAUGGACAGAACAUUGCAAAGCAACUAUAAUAAAAAAUUUAAAAAUAAAGAUAAAUAAAGCACUAGAUUGGUAAAUAUCCUGAAAAAAAGUCUGGGUUAAUUCACACUGGCAAGUUUGCUGAGUUGGUAGAUUGGUACCUGCUCACCACCAGGGUGGCAAAGGACACAUGAGAGCUGGGCAGACAUGACCUGCACAGAGCUCUGUGGCAACCUAGUAGAUAUGCCUCUAGGAUAAAGCUGUUGGUAUCUUAUGUGUUGAUGAAAUCACAGGAAAAUGUUUUGCUCUAUGUGUGGUAGGGGGUAGAAUGAGGUUAUAUGUGAAAUACAGGGAGAAUUUAGGGUAUAAUUUCCUUCUAAAAUUUUGAUGGUAACAUACCUACUGUAUAAUAUUUUAACCAAAGUAUUAUAAUAUUAACAUGCAAGCAACUAUCAUUUUCCCUCAACACUUUUCACCAAAAUACCCUUACAGAUUUUAGUGAUAUCUUCCAAAUCUCUUAUUUUUCCUCCUUUUUUAGUGCUUUUCCAAAUGUCAGGAAAUAUAUUUAUUAUGGGAAGUUAUGUAUUUCUCUUGAGGAUGACCAUUUUCCCAGAACUAAUUGAAUCUGACUUUCUCCUCUGUGUAGAUGCAUCAGGAAAUCUGUUUUUGCUCAGUAUAGCAACAUUAACUGAAUGACUCACAUGCUCAUAAUGCUGGGCAGUUUUCUCUAAAUUUAUAGUCUACUCUGCAAAGGUUUUUUUGGUAUUGAUUUUGAUGAAGUAAUAAACCAAAAUGCCUAAAAGAUCCAAGCAACUAAUGUAAAUUUGUGAAAUAAGUUACCUAUUGAACACUCAGCAUUGGUGUCUGUUACAGUAGGCAGGGAAGAAUAGAAAAGGAUCAGUAUAUAAGUAAAUAUUCCAAAUCUGACUCCAAAAAGAUCUGUACAUAGGAGAACCCUGAUCCACAGAGGAGAGAACUGAUAAGCACAAAGCUGACAGUGAGCCUUGGGAGCAGAUUUAUGGAAAGGUCACAAACCUAGAAGGAACCAAGAACACUGGCCAAGCAACAGAGCAGACCAGAACUAGGAGAAAGAAGCCAAGGCAGCACAAUAGAUGAAAGCAACUGGGAUGUACUGAUUAUUGAGCCUCAAAUACUAUGUGAAAACAAGACUUAUUCUGGAUCAUGGAUUCGUGGAUCCUGAAUCUGAUAGUCCACAAAGAAGACUUAAGUAAUGUGUGGCACAUGGGCACCAGGAGGGAUAAUUGAGCAGCAGGAUAUUUGGUCAGUGAGCUGUCACUCAUUUCCAUAUUCCACUAUAUGGGUGAGCAGAAGAAUGAAGCAGAUGUAUUUUUAUUGUGUCUUCAGUCUUAUUACUAAUUUAACAUAUAUAAUUUUUUAAAGUAAAAUUGAAGAGAACAGAAAGAAGAAAUUGCCCAAGUCUAUACUUCAUGCACAUCUCACAGGCAUUUAAAACUCAAAAUGGCCUACAUUAAACUAACUAUCCUCAGAUCUAUUCUUGAAAUUAAUAACCCCUGAUCAUAGUUAAUUACCCUACUAUCUAAUAAUCCAAGCCAGAUACCCACAGUUCAUUCAUGUCUCUUUUUUUCUUCCCUUAGUCACCACCAAGUUGUAUUAAUUUAUCUAAAUUUUCCUGGAAUUUAUUUUCUUCUCCCCAUCUCUCUCCUACUGCUUUAGUUUAGAGGAAUAUUAUCUCUCACACAGUGAUUUCAAUAGUUUCUAAUUGACCUUCCCAUAGUAAGUCUCUCUCUUCUAAAUCCAUUCCAAUCAACAUCACUGUUUUGUCUAAAGAAAAUAUUUUCAAAUGAUGUGCCUGACAGGAGCUUAAUUAUAUUCAAAAAGCUUAUACACUACAAUAUCAAAAAAAGAACCCCUAAACUACCUAAUUAAAAAAAUUGGGCAGAAGAUCCAAAUAGACAUUUCUCCAAAUAAGACAUACAGAUAGCCAACAGGCUCACCAUCACUAAUUAUUAGAGAAAUACAAAUCAAAAUGCAAUCAAGUAUCAUCUAACACUGGUCAGAAUGGCCAUCAUCAAAAACUAUAAAUAAUAAGUGCUGGAGAGGGCAUGGAGAAACAAGAACCCUCCUAGAACUGUUGGUGGGAAUGUAAAUUGGUGCAGCUACUAUGGAGAACAGUUUGGAGGUUCCUUAAAAAACUGAAAAUAAAGUUACCAUAUGAUCCGACAAUCCCACUGGGCACAUAUCUGGAAAGUGUGAAAACUAAUUUGGAAAGAUACAUGCAUCCCAAUGUUUAUAGCAGUACUAUUUAUAAUAACCAAAACGUGAAAUCAACUCAAGUGUCCAUUGACAGAUGAAUGAAUAAAGAUGUAGUAUAUAUAUUAUAUAUAUAUAUAUAUAAUAUAUAUACACACACAUACAGUGUGUAGAUGUAUACACACAUUAUAUGUAUAAUAUAUAUAUUAUGUGUUGUAUAUUAUAUGUAUGAAUAUCAGUCAUAAAAAAGAAUGACAUUCUACCAGUUUCAGCAACUUGGAUGGGCCUAAAGAUUAUCAAACUAAGAGAAGUAAGUCAGACAGAGAAAGACAAAUAUCAUACAAUAUCAAUUUAGUGGAAUUAAAAUACAAAUGAACUUAUGUAUAAAAGAGAAAUAGACUCACACACAUAAAAAAACAAACUGUGGUUAUUAAAGGAGAAAGGAGGAGGGGAUGAAUAACGUGGGAAUGUGGGAUUAAGGUAUACAAAAAAAAACGGCUUAAUCUCAAAAAUGAAUUCAUCAAAGGAGCAGGAUAACAAGAUUAAUAUUCAGAAUUCAUGUGCAUUUUUAUAAGCUAACAAUAAAAUAUCAAAAAAAAUUUGAAUUUAUACAAAAAAAAAAAAAAAACCUAGGAAUAAACCUGACUAAGGCAGUGAGAAACUUACGCACUGAGCAGUAUAAACUAUUAACAAAGGAAAUUAAAGAGGAUUCAAAGAAAUGGAAAGAUACCUCAUGCUUUUGGGUUGAAAGGGUUAACUUUGUUAAAAUGGCUGUACUAUCCAAAGCAAUAUCCACAUCACUCUCAAAUUACCCAUGACUUUUUUUUUUUUUUAGCAGAACUUGAACAAAUAAUCCCAAAAUUUAUAUG